AACUUGUUGGUUCAGUGGUUAGAGCGUAGGUCUCAUAACCGAAAGGUCGCGGGAUCGAAUCCCACUAGAAGUUG
rnacentral:tRNA from 1 species